ensembl:lncRNA
CUCCAGCAAUAGCCUGGCAUGGGCUCCCCUCCCACAGGGGUUGUUGAUUGCUCAGGCUUUUACAAUCCUCCAGCCGUGUUCCAAGGAGGUUUUGUGGUUUAAAUCAAUGUGCUUCUGGGAAUAAGUGGCCUUAUUAUUUCUAGUUGCCAUUAUUUGCUGUGCUCUUAUACCACCGUGACAUAAUAUCCUUUGUGCAGCUGCACAAUAACCGUCCUUUCAGGAAUCUCUAAGAGCUUUCUAAUUAAGACCCACAACCACAUGACAGAUGGAGAAACUGAAGCCCAGGGACAGGAAUGUCAGCGCUUCACCUUGGUCACAGAGGUGCCAAGCCUAGGUCCUCCCGCUCCUCCUGGAGGAGCUGCAGGCCCCAGGCCACUCUGCUCAUGUAGGAGACUGAGGCAGAGCCCGCACCACCGUUGGGCAGCCGUGGGCACCUCCAGGACAGCGUAGGGCCCCUGGGCCACUGAGCUAUUGAGCUGAGGACUGAGAACUAGAAGUGCUCCUGGCUGGGCAAAAGCCCUUGAGUUUCAAUCUGUUCUCCGUGGCAAGGUCAGUUGAAUUCCUAAGUAAGUAAACUUGAUGGACUGCCUUCUGUGUGCCGGGCAGCAGGAAUGCAGGGAAGAACCUGCAGGCCCCCCUUCGGGAUGUUCAAACGCCAGACAGAAGAGACAGGUCCAGCCUCCCGGAGCAAGGCCCUGUUGUCCAAAGCCUGUGGAGUGGAAGCUGGAGAAAGCACAUGGAGAUGUGAGGUGGAAACAUGAGCUGGCGAGCAACGGAACAGAUGGCUGGUACAAGAGUGAGAGCAUCAGGUUUGAGCUGGCGGAGUCUGAUGUGCAGCUGGCUCUGGAGUCGGGCUCGGACUGGAGUGGUAAGAAACCAAAGGCCGCCUGUGGCUUCCUCUCCUUGCCUUUUCUUGCCGGGUACCUUCCACUGCCCCCUGCACCUCCUGCGGGGUCUUCCGGACAGUAUGAGAUACUUCCUCAGUCAAUGAGAAUAACAACGCAGUGUGCUUCUCGGUCUUCCCUCCGUGCAGAGGUGGCACGUCAGCUAGCCCUGGGCCCUAGGGACACACACUUACCACCCCGACAUGUAUGACGACCACCCAUGGCUGCUUGAGAGCACGGACCCUACCCGCCUAUAACGAGCACUCAGUCGGUCCAUGGGAAAGAAAGGCAGGGAGAGAGGAAGGGAAGGAGGUAGAAGGUGGGGGGGACCACAGGGAAGAACCUGGCCGGGAAGGUGGAACCCAAAGCUUUCCAAACACCGCAUCUGCACCCUGACCAAUUCCAGCUGUUGCUGGAGGAGAGUGAACAUGACUCCAAGGCAAGAGUUGGAUACGUGGUCUUCUAAAAUAUUCUUUUAGGGGCGCCUGGGUGGCUCAGUUGGUUAAGCAUCUUACUCUUGAUUUUGGCUCAGGUCACGAUAUCAGGGUCGUGAGAUGCAGCCCUGCAUCGGGACCUAUGCUGGGCAGGGAGACUGCUCGGGAUUCUCUCCCUCUCCCUUUGCUCCUCCCUGCUGCCCCACCCCCCCCCCGCCCCAGCCACUGGCUUGAGCUAUC